rnacentral:rRNA from 1 species
UCACUGACGCUCAUGGACGAAAGCCAAGGGAGCGAAAGGGAUUAGAUACCCCUGUAGUCCUGGCCGUAAACGAUGAACACUAGGUGUCGGGGGAAUCGACCCCCUCGGUGUCGUAGCCAACGCGUUAAGUGUUCCGCCUGGGGAGUACGCACGCAAGUGUGAAACUCAAAGGAAUUGACGGGGGCCCGCACAAGCGGUGGAGUAUGUGGUUUAAUUCGAUGCAACGCGAAGAACCUUACCAGGGUUUGACAUCCUGCGAAUCUCUUGGAAACAGGAGAGUGCCUUCGGGAACGCAGUGACAGGUGGUGCAUGGCUGUCGUCAGCUCGUGUCGUGAGAUGUUGGGUUAAGUCCCGCAACGAGCGCAACCCACGUCUUUAGUUGCCAGCAUUUAGUUGGGCACUCUAGAGAGACUGCCGGUGAUAAACCGGAGGAAGGUGUGGAUGACGUCAAGUCAUCAUGCCCCUUACAUCCUGGGCUACACACGUACUACAAUGCUACGGACAAAGGGCAGCAAGUUCGCGAGGACAAGCAAAUCCCAUAAACCGUGGCUCAGUUCAGAUCGUAGGCUGCAACUCGCCUACGUGAAGGCGGAAUCGCUAGUAAUCGCAGGUCAGCAUACUGCGGUGAAUACGUUCCCGGGCCUUGUACACACCGCCCGUCACACCAUGGAAGUUGGCCACGCCCGAAGCCGUUACUCCAACCCUUGUGGAGGAGGACGUCGAAGGUGGGGCUGAUGACUGGGGUGAAGUCGUAACAAGGUAACC